CAACAUCAGGGGAUAAAAGGCUGGGCUACACAACAAGAAAGGCUGAUGCUUGAAGCCUUCUGAAGUGGUAAGGUGUUACUGUGUAGGGGCAGACACCUGAAGCCUUCUGAAGAGUUGAAGUACACCAGAACAGGAGUCUUUGAGAAACAGUGAAAAGGUGGUGAUUUAUUACUGUGGUGAAACAGGCAGAAGUCCAGUCUGCAAUACUUCUUGUACAGGAAUUCGUAAUGGGAUGGAUUAUAGUUUUUGUAUCUACGAGAAAUACCCAGAUCUACACUUCAAGAAAAUGUCAAUCAUUACAUUUUCAGUAGCCUAAAUCACACUGCACUUUGUUCAGCACAUUUAAGUCUAGAUGUCAAAUUAGGCAUGAAACCCUUCAUGUUAAUAUUCAAUUUACUAGCAGCUAAUUUUUAUUACUUUAAGCUUUACUUAUAUUUUUAUGAUUAGGCUAGUUUAAAGCUCUCAGAUAUAAAAAAAUCCCAAGGAAUAAAGAUUAGCGAUAUUUAUUGGGUU